CUUAUUAUUUCUGCUUUCUUCUUCUUCAUUUUUUUUCUACUUCUGUUCUUCUACUUCACGCUGGAGCAGACCCACCGAGUGAGAGAGUGACAUCGAGAGAUUGAGGGAGAGAGAGAGAGCAAAGACGAGAUGAGACAGAGGCAGAGAGGGAGAGGCUGAGAUCGGGAGAGAGGGAAACAGAGAUGGAAACUGAACCCAGAAACCAGGGGACGCCGGCGACUCGAUUUCCGGCCGAUGCUACCGGUGGGUCGACUCCGGUGGUGCCUAGGACGCGGAACCUGACGAACCCAGGAGCUUGCGACCCGCGACCCGCCAAACCCGCAACCCGAUCCUCUGAAGCCGUGAACCAUUGAACCCGAGUGAGACCCGGUUCUCCAUGACGGUUUUUCGGCGAUGUCCGGCGGUCCCUGUAGCGGUUUCCGGUGAACCGUUACCCGUGUGCAGCAACCCAGCCGAACCCCGAAGCCCCGUGACCCAGAACCCGACCCCGUGACCCGAAGACCCAAGAGGAAGACCCGGUUCUUCUUGUGCAAUUCCGGCGAAUUUCCGGCGACUACCAGCAGCUUUUCAGGUGGAAUUUCUGAUUUAAAUCCUCAAGGUAAAAGCUCGACUCCGAGGCUAACGGCUAGUCCAGAUGGCAACAGUAAGACGAAGUCUUUUCCUAGUAAGGGCGUAGACCUCGCUAAGAGCAAUAGUUCGUGAUGAACCGGCCAAACCUUAGUUUUGUAUAGUAUGUUUUGUUCUUUUUUGGAGUUAAUGAUCUUGUAAAGUAUUAUUAAUAGAAAGUUUUAAUAAAAUAGGAGAUUUAAAUUUACA